rnacentral:rRNA from 1 species
CGGGAAACCGGGGCUAAUACCGGAUAAUACAUGAAACCGCAUGGUUUCAUGAUGAAAGACGGUUUUGCUGUCACUUAUAGAUGGACCCGCGGCGUAUUAGCUAGUUGGUAAGGUAACGGCUUACCAAGGCAACGAUACGUAGCCUACCUUAGAGGGUGAUCGGCCACACUGGAACUGAGACACGGUCCAG